rnacentral:rRNA from 1 species
AGAGUUUGAUCAUGGCUCAGAACGAACGCUGGCGGCAGGCUUAACACAUGCAAGUCGAACGCCCCGCAAGGGGAGUGGCAGACGGGUGAGUAACGCGUGGGAAUCUACCCAAUUCUUCGGAACAACUGAGGGAAACUUCAGCUAAUACCGGAUACGCCCUACGGGGGAAAGAUUUAUCGGAAUUGGAUGAGCCCGCGUUGGAUUAGCUAGUUGGUGAGGUAAUGGCUCACCAAGGCGACGAUCCAUAGCUGGUCUGAGAGGAUGAUCAGCCACACUGGGACUGAGACACGGCCCAGACUCCUACGGGAGGCAGCAGUGGGGAAUAUUGGACAAUGGGCGAAAGCCUGAUCCAGCCAUGCCGCGUGAGUGAUGAAGGCCUUAGGGUUGUAAAGCUCUUUCAGUAGGGACGAUAAUGACGGUACCUACAGAAGAAGC